UUAAGUGACUAAGCGUACACGGUGGAUGCCUAGGCAGUCAGAGGCGAUGAAGGGCGUGCUAAUCUGCGAAAAGUGUCGGUAAGGUGAUAUGAACCGUUAUAACCGGCAAUACCCGAAUGGGGAAACCCAGUGUGUUUCGACACACUAUCGUAUGGUGAAUACAUAGCCAUACGAGGCGAACCGGGGGAACUGAAACAUCUAAGUACCCCGAGGAAAAGAAAUCAACCGAGAUUCCCCUAGUAGCGGCGAGCGAACGGGGAACAGCCCAGAACCUGAAUCAGUUCUUGUGUUAGUGGAAGCGUCUGGAAAGUCGCGCAGCAAAGGGUGAUAGCCCCGUACACUAAAAUGCAUUAACUGUGAGUUCGAUGAGUAGGGCGGGACACGUGACAUCCUGUCUGAAUAUGGGGGGACCAUCCUCCAAGGCUAAAUACUCCUGACUGACCGAUAGUGAACCAGUACCGUGAGGGAAAGGCGAAAAGAACCCCGGCGAGGGGAGUGAAAUAGAACCUGAAACCGUGUACGUACAAGCAGUGGGAGCACCUUCGUGGUGUGACUGCGUACCUUUUGUAUAAUGGGUCAGCGACUUAUAUUUUGUAGCAAGGUUAACCGUAUAGGGGAGCCGUAGGGAAACCGAGUCUUAACUGGGCGAAUAGUUGCAAGGUAUAGACCCGAAACCCGGUGAUCUAGCCAUGGGCAGGUUGAAGGUUGGGUAACACUAACUGGAGGACCGAACCGACUAAUGUUGAAAAAUUAGCGGAUGACUUGUGGCUGGGGGUGAAAGGCCAAUCAAACCGGGAGAUAGCUGGUUCUCCCCGAAAGCUAUUUAGGUAGCGCCUCGUGAACUCAUCUUCGGGGGUAGAGCACUGUUUCGGCUAGGGGGCCAUCCCGGCUUACCAAACCGAUGCAAACUCCGAAUACCGAAGAAUGUUAUCACGGGAGACACACGGCGGGUGCUAACGUCCGUCGUGAAGAGGGAAACAACCCAGACCGCCAGCUAAGGUCCCAAAGUCAUGGUUAAGUGGGAAACGAUGUGGGAAGGCAUAGACAGCCAGGAUGUUGGCUUAGAAGCAGCCAUCAUUUAAAGAAAGCGUAAUAGCUCACUGGUCGAGUCGGCCUGCGCGGAAGAUGUAACGGGGCUAAACCAUGCACCGAAGCUGCGGCAGCGACGCUUAGGCGUUGUUGGGUAGGGGAGCGUUCUGUAAGCCGUUGAAGGUGAACUGUGAGGUUUGCUGGAGGUAUCAGAAGUGCGAAUGCUGACAUAAGUAACGAUAAAGCGGGUGAAAAACCCGCUCGCCGGAAGACCAAGGGUUCCUGUCCAACGUUAAUCGGGGCAGGGUGAGUCGACCCCUAAGGCGAGGCCGAAAGGCGUAGUCGAUGGGAAACAGGUUAAUAUUCCUGUACUCGGUGUUACUGCGAAGGGGGGACGGAGAAGGCUAGGCUAGCCGGGCGACGGUUGUCCCGGUUUAAGCGUGUAGGGGGNUAUCAACCCUGAGGCGUGAUGACGAUGCACUACGGUGCAGAAGUAGUUGAUGCCCUGCUUCCAGGAAAAGCCUCUAAGCAUCAGGUAACAUCAAAUCGUACCCCAAACCGACACAGGUGGUCAGGUAGAGAAUACCAAGGCGCUUGAGAGAACUCGGGUGAAGGAACUAGGCAAAAUGGUGCCGUAACUUCGGGAGAAGGCACGCUGGCGCGUAGGUGAAGAGACUUGCUCUCGGAGCUGAAGCCAGUCGCAGAUACCAGCUGGCUGCAACUGUUUAAUAAAAACACAGCACUGUGCAAACACGAAAGUGGACGUAUACGGUGUGACGCCUGCCCGGUGCUGGAAGGUUAAUUGAUGGGGUCAGCCGCAAGGCGAAGCUCUUGAUCGAAGCCCCAGUAAACGGCGGCCGUAACUAUAACGGUCCUAAGGUAGCGAAAUUCCUUGUCGGGUAAGUUCCGACCUGCACGAAUGGCGUAAUGAUGGCCAGGCUGUCUCCACCCGAGACUCAGUGAAAUUGAACUCGCUGUGAAGAUGCAGUGUACCCGCGGCAAGACGGAAAGACCCCGUGAACCUUUACUAUAGCUUGACACUGAACAUUGAGCCUUGAUGUGUAGGAUAGGUGGGAGGCUUUGAAGUGUGGACGCCAGUCUGCAUGGAGCCAACCUUGAAAUACCACCCUUUAAUGUUUGAUGUUCUAACUCGGCCCCAUAAUCUGGGGUGAGGACAGUGUCUGGUGGGUAGUUUGACUGGGGCGGUCUCCUCCCAAAGAGUAACGGAGGAGCACGAAGGUUAGCUAAUCACGGUCGGACAUCGUGAGGUUAGUGCAAAGGCAUAAGCUAGCUUGACUGCGAGAGUGACGGCUCGAGCAGGUACGAAAGUAGGUCUUAGUGAUCCGGUGGUUCUGAAUGGAAGGGCCAUCGCUCAACGGAUAAAAGGUACUCCGGGGAUAACAGGCUGAUACCGCCCAAGAGUUCAUAUCGACGGCGGUGUUUGGCACCUCGAUGUCGGCUCAUCACAUCCUGGGGCUGAAGUAGGUCCCAAGGGUAUGGCUGUUCGCCAUUUAAAGUGGUACGCGAGCUGGGUUUAGAACGUCGUGAGACAGUUCGGUCCCUAUCUGCCGUGGGCGUUGGAAGAUUGAGAGGGGUUGCUCCUAGUACGAGAGGACCGGAGUGAACGCACCACUGGUGUUCGGGUUGUCAUGCCAAUGGCACUGCCCGGUAGCUAAGUGCGGAAAAGAUAAGCGCUGAAAGCAUCUAAGCGCGAAACUUGCCUCGAGAUGAGUCUUCCCUGGGCCUUUAAGGUCCCUGAAGGAACGUUUAAGACUAAGACGUUGAUAGGCUGGGUGUGUAAGUGCAGCGAUGCAUUGAGCUAACCAGUACUAAUGAUCCGUGAGGCUUAACCUU
rnacentral:rRNA from 1 species